GCCCAGUCUCUCUUCCUGCCCGCGCCCACGCCUCGACCACUCGCUCUCCUCUCCUCCACCUCCCUCCACCAUGCCCGCCUCCCUCCUCCCCCCGACCUUCCUCCCGCACCACCGCCGUCGCCACCACCUCUGCCUCCCUGUACCCAGCUGCUCCACCUCCUCUUCUUCCUCCUCCGUGUCCGGCUCUGCCGCCGGACACGUCAGCCGCUACGACUUCGAGCCGCUGCUAGCGUACCUCUCCGCCCCCUCCAACGUCGCCUCCCUCACGUCGCCGUCCCCUCCGCCCUGCGUACCGGCCCCCGAGCGCCGCCUCGCCGCGUCCUACGCUGCCGUGCCGUCGCACGAGUGGCACGCGCUGCUCCGCGGCCUCGCCGCCAGCGACGCGUCCCUGCCGCUCGCGUUCGCGCUGCUCCCUUUCCUCCAGCGUCACCGCCUCUGCUUCCCGCUCGACCUGCUCCUCUCCUCGCUCAUCCACUCGCUCUCCGUCUCCGGCCGCCUGCUCCCGCACUCGCUGCUGCUCUCCUUCCCGCCGUCCCUCUCCGACCCGCCCUCGCCGCUGCUGCUCAACUCCCUCCUCGCCGCCUCCGCCGCGGCCUCCCGCCCCGCCAUCGCGCUGCGGCUCCUCGCGCUCAUCCGAGAGCACGGCUUCCUCCCAGACCUCGCCUCCUACUCCCAUCUUCUUGCUUCGCUGCUCAACACAAGGGACCCGCCGGACGCCGCCAUCCUUGAGCGCCUUCUCGGCGACCUCAGGGAGUCGCGCCUCGAGCCAGACGCGCCACUCUUCUCCGACCUCAUCUCCGCCUUCGCGCGGGCUGCGCUGCCGGACGCAGCACUCGACCUCCUCGCCUCCGCGCAGGCCAUCGGACUCACUCCACGAUCCAAUGCCGUCACCGCGCUCAUCUCCGCGCUCGGCGGCGCCGGUCGCGUGGCCGAAGCUGAGGCACUUUUCCUGGAAUUCUUCCUUGCCGGGGAGAUCAAGCCACGGACACGCGCCUACAAUGCGUUGCUCAAAGGGUAUGUGAAAAUUGGCUCGCUCAAGAACGCCGAGCAGGUGCUCGAUGAAAUGUCGGACUGCGGAGUCGCGCCGGAUGAGGCCACAUACAGCUUACUUGUGGACGCAUACACCAGGGCUGGACGGUGGGAGAGCGCAAGGAUACUGCUCAAGGAGAUGGAAGCUGACGGAGUUAAACCGAGCUCCUAUGUGUUCAGCCGGAUCCUUGCGGGAUUCCGUGAUAGAGGUGAUUGGCAGAAGGCAUUUGCGGUGCUCCGUGAGAUGCAUGCAAGCGGUGUACAGCCUGAUCGGCAUUUCUACAAUGUCAUGAUAGAUACAUUUGGGAAGUACAAUUGCCUUGGGCAUGCUAUGGAUGCGUUUAACCGGAUGCGAGAAGAAGGGAUUGAACCGGAUGUUGUUACAUGGAAUACGCUUAUUGAUGCACACCGCAAGGGUGGGCGGCAUGAUCGCGCCAUGGAACUGUUUGAGGAGAUGCGUGAAAGCAACUGCCCACCAGGCACGACCACAUAUAACAUCAUGAUCAAUUUGCUUGGUGAACAAGAGCGGUGGGUGGGGGUAGAAACAAUGCUGUCAGAGAUGAAGGAGCAGGGUUUGGUUCCCAACAUUAUCACAUACACUACACUUGUGGAUGUCUACGGGAGGUCUGGCAGGUUCAAGGAGGCAAUUGAAUGCAUUGAAGUGAUGAAAGCUGAUGGACUGAAGCCAUCGCCCACCAUGUACCAUGCCCUUGUCAAUGCGUACGCCCAAAGGGGUUUAGCUGAUCAUGCAUUAAAUGUCGUCAAGGCCAUGAGAGCAGAUGGCCUAGAGGCUAGCACGGUAGUGCUCAACUCAUUGAUGAAUGCAUUUGGUGAGGACAGAAGGGUCGUUGAAGCAUUUUCUGUGCUACAGUUCAUGAAGGAAAAUGAUCUUAGGCCUGAUGUUAUAACAUACACAACACUAAUGAAAGCUCUAAUCCGUAUUGAGCAGUUUGACAAGGUUCCAGUUAUCUAUGAAGAAAUGAUCACAUCGGGAUGUGCCCCAGAUCGAAAAGCUAGAGCAAUGUUGCGUUCAGCUCUAAGAUACAUGAAAUACACCAAGGUUGCAUAGGGAAUCCUGCUGGACUUAUGCGCCAAUGUCAUUCAUCAACAGAAAUGAUUCUCUCUUUGAAUAGUGUCACAAUGUGCAUUCAUAUAGAAUCAUAUAUUCAUAUCAGUGAGUUAUAGCUGACAAAAUAAGAUCAUAUUGCAAUAUACGGUUUUCUCACAAUAACAAAUGACUAGCAUGGAAGUGUCAUAAGCGUACUUGGAGCAAGAAAGCAGCAAAGAGGAGUUCAGGAGCAGCACUGUUGGUAUUGUAGGAUAUACAUCCAGUGGUUUUAGGUUUGCACACAUUUGUACAUGUGCCAGCAUUCUUCAGGAGCACCAUUCUUGGUUUUGGCAGGAUAGCUAUCGGUGGUUUUGACUUUUGAGUAAGAUAUGCUACUGGUAGUUUUGAGUUUUGUGUACAUAUGCAAGGAUUGUCAGGAAAUUACUAGCAAAAGUUGAAAAGUUAAGGCUGCUGCAGCUUACCCGUCUGUUAUUGCGAAAAGAAGCUUGGACAAAGUGUGAUCACUCUGCAUCUCAUUCCUUUCUAAAGUGUUGUACCGUGGAACUCAUUCAAACAUUACUGUUUGCCCAGUUUAAUAUUUGCAUGCAGUUCACUGUUAGUUAUCUUCAGUGUGGAAAGUGAAGUUACAGUUGUAUGUGCUAGUAUACUUGGGAGGGUACACAUUUUCGAUAUGUAUGAGCCUCAGCCUCUGUGAGUACUCAAGACUGGAAAGGACAACUUGCCAGCUCCUUCAUAAGUGCAUCAUGGAAGUUGCAUACAGGCCUUCUAAUCUUCUAUACAGCUCACUUGGGUAUUUCCAACUUACGAAACUACUUUGAUUCUGUUUAUGGAUGAUGACUACUGCCAAUAUGUCUACCAAGUUAGUACAUGGUGAACUUGUUCGCUCAUUAUAACUAUGCUACUGGUGCUUAACUAUGUUUUUGAGCAAGGUGGUUCUUUGUCGUCUAUAUUACUGUAGUCGUUUACUGUGCUCUAUCAUUUUGUAUGAGCUCAACCUUGUUGACUUCCAAAUGAAUCAACAGCAGAUGGAUGUGUCGCUGGUCGCUGCUUUUGAUGGAAGAGAAAACAUCCCUGAUAUGGAGAUCUUAUGAUUAUCCUUAUAAACAAAUGGACAUGUUUUUGAAGGAAGUAAAUCAUGGUUGCUCCCAAAUUGUACUGGUAUAAGAGGGCUGAACAUUUCAUUCCAAGUUCUGCAUGAGGAACGCACAGUAGGCAUUGCAAAUGGACAUUGAAAAAAGAGGUGCUCUCUGGUUUCUGGGGUUAUGUGAUUGCACGACACAGUUGUAUGAAGGAAGAUAAAAAGCCCUUUGAAGCAGCAUGGCCCUUGUGUUAAGUCUAUUAAUAAGCAGAAGCCAGAUGAAGAUUUUGUGCUUAAGCUGACAGCAUGAGGCCCAGUUCCAAGAGAAGUUGGAUUGGAUCUCAAUGUGAUUGAUUAGAAUCUGACAUACCUAAGCAACCUGGUACUCUUGCUUGGUCCAGGGAUAACUCCAUGAGUCCUGCAUACUGUCAAGUUCAGUGUCAGUGACCAGGGCAUUAAGCUCCUGUAACUGAUCAUAUGCUUCCACCGAGAGAGGGAGGUGGAAGUGGUCUGUAGUGUCAUCAGCCCUGAUGAGAUCAGCCACAGAGAUGUCUUGCAGGAACGCAAAUGAGAAGAGCAGGGGCCAUUUGCUGGAAAGAAGUUCUCCCUGCCAUGAAUCCUUCCAGAACUGAAUGGUGUUGCCACAAUGACAGCUACAGGUAGCUAUCUCUUUAUAGGUCUCCAGAAGCUUGAGAUUGUCUUUCCACCAGAAAUAUGCAUUGGCUUGUGUGCUGGAGGGAAGAGAAUUAGCAUAAUAUUGCUCCUAGACCAGUUGCACCCAUGGAAGAUUGGCCUUGUUGAA